rfam:Enterococcus faecalis pathogenicity island, complete sequence.
GAGAACUCUUAUUUUGAGAAUUGGAAUGAUGGGGUAACGCCCUGAAACGAUUCCCCUAAUCUCCGACAUGCGUUUAUCUCGUGCAAAAGAUAAAGGUGUGAAGCUCGGUAAAGUCGGCUGAAAGAUACCGUACGGAAAUCUCUACGUGAAAUAGAGAAGGUAAACGAAAGUGCCUUAGCGGUAAGGUAUGUAUCUGAUAGGUCGGGGGUCGGAAAA